UCCCCCAGCGCUUAGAACGGUGCUCGGCACCUAGUAAGCGCCGAACAAACACCGACGUUGUUAUUCUCCAGGGCUUGGCACACAGGAAGUGCUAAACGGAUAUCAUUAUUAUUAAUAAAAUAGAGGCCUGCUGCUGCCGGGAAGGGCUCCUCGCCCCUCCGGGCAGGGCUGGCCUUCAUCUAAACUGACGCAACUGUCCCGACAUUCCCGAAAGAGGGAAGGUGGGGACUUGAGUGAGGAAGGAAUUUAAUCCCAGCAGUGGCAGACAGGGAGAGGGAAAAGGCCGAUGGAGCCGUUGGGUGUCUUCCCUCCUCCCUCCUCCAACAUAGCAACCUUCCCGUCUCCCAUCAUUCGUUCCUAUUUAUUGAGCACUCACCGCGUGCAGAGCCCGUUCCUAAGGCGUCUCGUCUGCGACGGUUUGUUCCCGCGAAGCAUCCGGACGUCAGGAUUGAGAGGAUUGAAUUUUUAAGCUUCAUCUUAUCCCCGUGAAGCUCCCGUGCCUGACAGUCCAGCAACCCGGUGAGUCUGACCCGGCUCCGGCGACCCAACUCCUUGAGGAUGGGAAUCGUGUCUACUGACUGCACCAUUCUACUCUCUCGAAUACUUCGGUGCUUUGCUCUGCGAACGGAAAGCGCUCAGUAGAUACCAAUAUUUGAACGAGUCCGGCUGCCAAGAGAGGAGAAAACCGUCUUUUCGGCCAGCUGGGAGACAGGGUGGCUGGAGAUGGAGAUGAUGCUAAUGAAAACCAUUUAAAAUUAAAGUUCAAAUGCAUGCCAAUGAUGAGUACAAUUAAUGCAUUUACUGAGCACGGAUAUGAGAGAAAUUCGAUCGAAUGCUACUUAGAGCACAAUUAGGACCGACAAGAUUUUUUAAAAAUAGCUACAAAGGUCACGGAGACAUUUGCCAGGUCUCUACAUCGCCUUCCCCGCGUGGGCAUCGUUCCCGGGGACUCGGAUGUGAUCCUUGUCUGGAUGACUGGGGGCUGCACGUCACGGGUCAGCGUACGCAGCUAGACCGCGUAUACAGCCACGCAUCUGCGCCUUUCCGACACGGGGAAUGGGCCCGGUUUUGGAGAAAUUACAGAUCUGCUGUUUUAACUGUGAUCCAGCUGGCGACCGAAUCAGGGUUACCUCCGAGACUGGGCACGCUUAUUGGACUAGAGGCCCCUUAAAUCCAUCUUGUACAUUUUCACAGCGUGCUUCCUUCUGAGAUAGAACUUGCAGUCCAGUGGCAAGAGACCAGGUCCGGGACUCAGAGUUUGUUUAAUGAGAUGUCCAUCACCCUGAUUCUCUUUAUUUGCUGUCGUUUUAAUGAGAUGGUCUUCCCCUCGAUUCUAUUGAUUGCCCUCGUUCUUGUCCGUCUCCCCCCCCGAUCAGACCGUGAGCCCGUCGAAGGGCAGGGACCGCCUCUAUCUGUUACCCAUUUGUCCGCGCCGAGCGCUCGGUGCAGCGCUCUGCACAUAGUAAGCGCUCAGUGAAUACUGUCGAAUGAAUGAGUAACCCCGGUUCCACCACGUACCUGCCGGGAACGUAGGCAAGUCCCAGCCUCUCUGUGCCUCAGAUUCCUCAUCUGAAAAAUGGGAAUUCAAUAUCCGUUCUCCCUCGUGCUUAGACUGUGAGCCCCUUGUGGGGCCCGAUUAUACACCCUAGCGCUUAGUUCGGUGCUUGGCACAUAAUAAGCACCCAACAGAGACCACAGUUAUUAAAUAGAACUGGGCUGCUCUAGAAAACCGAGUAUUUCUUUCACGUAACCAUUUUGGCUAAACAUACUUUUAAACAUUCAGAUCACUUCAGGGAAGGAUGAAAGGGUAAAUUCACAAUUUCUAACUGUGCCCCUUGUUACAGAGCCUUGCCUCGCGAACGAUUUUCCAAGGCACCGGAUGUAAAGGAAGUUAACCUAUCUAUCCUAAGUUGGUUGUCCUCGGUUUGGGGGCUUUUUAAAUAUGAUUUUAUUAAGCGCUUACUAUAAGUCAGACACGGUACUGAACGUCGGGUAAUACGAAUUAAUCGGGUUGGACACAGUCCUUGUGCUACAAGGACUACAUUAGAAGCAGCGCGGCUCGGUGGGAAGAGCCCGGGCUUGGGAGCCAGAGGUCGUGGGUUCGAAUCCAGCCUCAGCCACUUAGCCGUGGGACUGUGGGCACGUCACUUCACUUCUCUGGGCCUCAGUUCCCUCAUCUGUCAAAUGGGGAUGAAGACUGUGAGCCUCACGUGGGACGAUCCGGUGACCCCGUAUCUCCCCCAGCGAUUAGAACGGUGCUCUGCACAUAGUAAGCGCUUAACAGAUACCGACAUUCUUCCUAUUAAAAAAGCCGUGCUGCUCCUCCUUGCUGCUUACUGUGUGCAGAGUACAGUAUUAGGUCCUCCGGAUUGUACAGUAUAACAGCCGGUAGGCACGUUCCCUGCUCACAAGGAGCUUAAAUGCCAGAGGGGGAGACGCAUAUUUAAAUUCAAUCAUUCGAUCGUAUUUACUGAGUGCUUACUGUGCGCAGAGCACUGUGUUAAGCGCUUGGAAAUUCAGCGACAAAUAGAGACAAUCCCUGCCCAACAAUGGGCUCACAGACAUCGAAACCAGUAAACAGGCAUCAGUAGCAUCGACGUCAAUAACUAGAACUAUAGCUAUAUUCUUGUCAUUAAUAAAAGAAAAAGAACGAUAAAUAAAUAGCAAUAACUGGAACUGUAGCUCUAUGCGUGCCAUUAAUAAAAGAAAAAGAACGAUAGAUAUCGAUAACUAGAACUACAGCGUGGUACAGUGGAAAGAGCGCGGGCUUGGGAGUCAGAGUUCAUGGGUUCGAAUCCCGGCUCCGCUACUUGCCACCUGUGUGACUUUGGGCAAGUCACUUGACCUCUCUGUGCCUCAGUUACCUCCUCUGUAAAAUGGGGAUUAAAACUGUGAGCCCCACGUGGGACAACCUGAUGACCCCGUAUCUCCCCCGGCGCUUAGAACAGUGCUUUGCACGUAGUAAGCGCUUAACAAAUACCAAAUGCCACCAUUUAACUAUAGAUAUAUGGGUGCCGUUAAUCAAAGAAAAAGAACGAUAAAUAUCAAUAACUAGAACUAUAGAUAUAUGCGUGUCAUUAAUAAAAGACAAAGAACGAUGGAUAUCAAUAACUGGAACUAUAGCUAUAUGCGUGUCGUUAAUAAAAGAAAAAGAACGAUAGAUAUCGAUAACUAGAACUAUAGAUGUAUGCGUGCCAUUAAUAAAAGAAAAAGAACGGUAGAUAUCAAUAGACCUAUAGAUAUAUGCGUGCCAUUAAUAAAAGAAAAAGAACGAUAGAUAUCGAUAACUAGAACUAUAGGUAUAUGCGUGCCAUUAAUGAAAGAAAAAGAACGAUGGAUAUCGAUAACUAGAACUGUAGCUGUAUGCGUGUCAUUAAUAAAAGAAAAAGAAGGAUAGAUAUCAGUAACUAGAACUGUAGCUAUAUGCGUGCCAUUAAUAAAAGAAAAAGAACGAUAGAUAGCAAUAACUAGAACUGUAGCUGUAUGCGUGUCAUUAAUAAAAGAAAAAGAACGAUAGAUAUCAAUAACUAGAACUGUAGCUAUACGCGCGUCAUUAAUAAAAGAAAAAGGACGAUAAAUAUGUACAUAGAUACACAAGUGCUGUGGGGCGGGGAGGCGGG
rnacentral:lncRNA from 1 species